rnacentral:rRNA from 1 species
UACGUAGGGGGCAAGCGUUGUCCGGAUUUAUUGGGCGUAAAGAGCGUGUAGGCGGCCAGGUAGGUCCGUUGUGAAAACUCGAGGCUCAACCUCGAGACGCCGAUGGAAACCAUCUGGCUAGAGUCCGGAAGAGGAGAGUGGAAUUCCCGGUGUAGCGGUGAAAUGCGCAGAUAUCGGGAAGAACACCCGUGGCUAAGGCGGCUCUCUAGUACGGUACUGACGCUGAGACACGAAAGCGUGGGGAGCGAACAGG